GAGCGGCCUGAGCAGUUGAGACAAAAUGCAAAAAAAGAAGAAGAAUGAGAUUCAAUUAAAUGAAUUAUUGAACAAAAAUAAAAAUAUGACUGAGUUUUGUAAUACUGCAAGCAGUGUCUCGGUAUCAGCUACAGCGAGAGCGAGUUCAAAUUCACUAACUAUGUCAAUAAUGUCAGCACCAGUUCCAGGUUGAUGGAAUGUGAAUAUGAUGACCGACUUUUGAUGGACAUUGAAACGUCACAAUCCUGCUGCUGCUCAACGAAUGAACCACAAAGACAAAUCACAUAGUAAUAGAUAAAUUUUAAAUGGAAAUCUGUUUUUAUAUUGCACUUUUGUUAAAAAUUUGUAACUUCCAAUAGUUUUCUGCAUUUUAUCCAUUGAAUAUUUUGUGCUG